rnacentral:rRNA from 1 species
UACGAAGGGGGCUAGCGUUGUUCGGAAUUACUGGGCGUAAAGCGCACGCAGGCGGCUUGUCUAGUCAGAAGUGAAAGCCCGGGGCUUAACCCCGGAAUAGCUCUUGAUACUGGCAGGCUUGAAUCACGGAGAGGGUAGUGGAAUUCCGAGUGUAGAGGUGAAAUUCGUAGAUAUUCGGAAGAACACCAGUGGCGAAGGCGACUACCUGGCCGUUGAUUGACGCUCAUGUGCGAAAGCGUGGGGAGCAAACAGG